rnacentral:rRNA from 1 species
UACGUAGGGGGCUAGCGUUGCUCGGAAUCACUGGGCGUAAAGGGUGCGUAGGCGGGCCUUUAAGUCAGGGGUGAAAUCCUGGAGCUCAACUCCAGAACUGCCUUUGAUACUGAAGAUCUUGAGUCCGGGAGAGGUGAGUGGAACUGCGAGUGUAGAGGUGAAAUUCGUAGAUAUUCGCAAGAACACCAGUGGCGAAGGCGGCUCACUGGCCCGGUACUGACGCUGAGGCACGAAAGCGUGGGGAGCAAACAGG